rnacentral:lncRNA from 1 species
CAAUAAUGCAGAAUAUUUUAAUCUUUAAAAACACCAGUGUUUUACUAUGUGGUGACUGGAAUGUUGUAUUAGAUAAAUUUAUGGAUACAUAUAAUAUCAAACAUAAUAGAAACCCUAACUCCCGUAAAAAAAUUGAUGAAAUCAUUGAUGUUUUUGAACUACUUGAUCCUUGGCGUACAUGCUAUCCAGAAGAUAGGAAAUAUACCUGGCGUCAGUCCUCACCAAUAAAACAAAGUCGCCUUGAUUAUUUUUUAAUUUCAGAAGACCUUUUUUCACUUAUGAAGAAUACCAUUAUCAUUCCUGGUUAUAGAACAGACCAUUCGGCAAUUCUUUUCACCUUCUCAGCUUGUUUAGAGAAACGGGGCAAAAGUUAUUGGAAAUUUAACUCUCAGUUACUUAGAGAUGCAGAUUAUAUAAAAAUGGUUAAAUCAUGUAUUAAGGAUACUAUUUUGGAAUACCAUCUGUCAGGUGAUAUGGAAAAUCUUCUUUCUGUUGAGUUGUCAUGUAAUGAUCAAACAUUUUUUGAAAUAUUAAAAAUGAAGAUUAGAUCCUUGUCAAUAAAUUACAGCAUUAAUAAAUC